UGAGUGCGAGCUGCUACGGCAGCGAAGUUGGUGAUGUCAUGCUUCCAAGAAAAGCCCUAUACCCGUUAAGGCAUCAUGGCCUGUACCCGAAACCGACACAGGUGGGGUGGUAGAGAAUACCGAGGGGCGCGAGGUAACUCUCUCUAAGGAACUCGGCAAAAUGGCCCCGUAACUUCGGGAGAAGGGGUGCCACCGCAAGGUGGUCGCAGUGAAGAGGCCCAGGCGACUGUUUACCAAAAACACAGGUCUCCGCUAAGUCGCAAGACGAUGUAUGGGGGCUGACGCCUGCCCAGUGCCGGAAGGUUAAGGAAGCUGGUCAGCGCAAGCGAAGCUAGCGACUGAAGCCCCGGUGAACGGCGGCCGUAACAAUAACGGUCCUAAGGUAGCGAAAUUCCUUGUCGGGUAAGUUCCGACCCGCACGAAAGGCGUAACGAUCUGGGCGCUGUCUCGGAGAGAGGCUCGGCGAAAUAGAAUUGUCUGUGAAGAUGCGGACUACGUGCACCCGGACAGAAAGACCCUAUGAAGCUUUACUGUAGCUUGGUAUUGUGCCCGGGCUCGCAAUGCGCAGGAUAGGUGGGAGGCUUUGAUCAUCGGCUUGCGGGUCGAUGUGAGCCAACGGUGAGAUACCACUCUUUGCGAGCUAGGGUUCUAACGGCCACCCGUCAUCCGGGGGCCGGACAGUACCUGGUGGGCAGUUUGACUGGGGCGGUCGCCUCCUAAAAGGUAACGGAGGCGCGCAAAGGUUUGCUCAGGCUGGUUGGAAAUCAGCCGACGAGUGUAAAAGCAGAAGCAAGCUUGACUGUGAGACCAACAAGUCGAACAGGGAGGAAACUCGGCUUUAGUGAUCCGACGGUUCUGAGUGGAAGGGCCGUCGCUCAACGGAUAAAAGUUACUCUAGGAUAACAGGCUGAUCUCCCCCAAGAGUUCACAUCGACGGGGAGGUUUGGCACCUCGAUGUCGGCUCAUCGCAACCUGGGGCUGAAGUCGGUCCCAAGGGUUGGGCUGUUCGCCCAUUAAAGCGGUACGCGAGCUGGGUUCAGAACGUCGUGAGACAGUUCGGUCCAUAUCCGGUGCACGCGCAGGAAUAUUGAGAGGAUUUCUCCCUAGUACGAGAGGACCGGGAGGAACGCACCUCUGGUGUACCAGUUAUCGUGCCAACGGUAAACGCUGGGUAGCCAUGUGCGGAGUGGAUAACCGCUGAAAGCAUCUAAGUGGGAAGCCCACCUCAAGAUGAGUAUUCCCAUGGCGUAAGCCAGUAGGUCACGGGAAGAACACCCGUUGAUAGGCUCUAUGUGGAAGCGCAGUAAUGCGUGAAGCAGAGGAGUACUAAUAGACCGAGGGCUUGAC
rnacentral:rRNA from 1 species